UACGGAGGGAGCUAGCGUUAUUCGGAAUUACUGGGCGUAAAGCGCACGUAGGCGGCUUUGUAAGUUAGAGGUGAAAGCCUGGAGCUCAACUCCAGAAUUGCCUUUAAGACUGCAUCGCUUGAAUCCAGGAGAGGUGAGUGGAAUUCCGAGUGUAGAGGUGAAAUUCGUAGAUAUUCGGAAGAACACCAGUGGCGAAGGCGGCUCACUGGCCCGAUACUGACGCUGAGGUGCGAAAGCGUGGGGAGCAAACAGG
rnacentral:rRNA from 1 species